rnacentral:rRNA from 1 species
UACGGAGGGGCUAGCGUUGUUCGGAAUUACUGGGCGUAAAGCGCACGUAGGCGGCUUUGUAAGUUAGAGGUGAAAGCCCGGGGCUCAACUCCGGAAUUGCCUUUAAGACUGCAUCGCUAGAAUUGUGGAGAGGUAAGUGGAAUUCCGAGUGUAGAGGUGAAAUUCGUAGAUAUUCGGAAGAACACCAGCGGCGAAGGCGGCUUUCUGGUCUGAUACUGACGCUGGAGGCGACGAAAGCCGUGGGGAGCGAUCCGG